rnacentral:rRNA from 1 species
UACAGAGGGUGCGAGCGUUGUCCGGAAUCACUGGGCGUAAAGGGCGCGUAGGUGGUGGCUUAAGCGUGCGGUGAAAGCUCGGAGCUCAACUCCGAGUCGGCCGUGCGAACUGGGCUCACUGGAGCAUAGUAGAGGCAGGUGGAAUUCCGGGUGUAGCGGUGGAAUGCGCAGAUAUCAGGAGGAACACCGGUGGCGAAGGCGGGUCUCUGGGCCGGAACUGACGCUGAGGAGCGAAAGCGUGGGGAGCGAACAGG